GGGCUGAAGCCUUUCCCUACUCUCGAGGUUUCUUUCUUCUGUAUUUCAGACUUUUGUCUCUUCCUGCUUGAGGGCUCAUUUCUCAGAAUCUUGUAGCCUGGAGCAGGUGCGGUUCCCGACCUUGAAGGUAAGUCACCUAUCCCUCAGAGCACAGUGUCUGCAUCUGUCACUGAGAACCCACUCCUUGCCCUGCCUUCCUCCCCAAGGUGUUAAUAAUUAUGGAGGGGCUCUACUGGGGGCCUCCUCCUACUCAUUUACCCAAGUAAGUGAGUGCACCAUUCCUACCUCCUCCUUUGGUGACUGUAAACUCAUGGAAUCUUGGGACCAUGGAGCAGAAACGCUUCUGAGGCCAUCUCUGCAACAGUCCUUUCUACCACAUUCUAACCAAUUGGCCAUCAGGGUAGACUGUAAGAUGGAUACCUGGAGGGCAACAAACACCUUCUUCAGAGUCCUUUGGGGCUCUGUCUACAUAACACCCCGGUGCUCGAUUGACCAAAGUCCUUCAAUCUGGAAAGAGGGUCCCCUGGAAGGAGAGAAGAGCCAGAGACAGGCACUCCAUAUCGGAGUCUACAAAUCAUUUGCAGGAAUGGAAAUCUGGAACUGAAGACCAGAGCAGAAGAUGACAGCGGAGACACAGUGGGCCUAUGACAAGACAGAAUAGUAGUGUCUCUGAACCUGCAGUAGUGUGGUAGUAGGUGUUUAACAACUAGCUUUGGUGUGACAGGAGCUAUGAUUGGUAAUAUUUGCUGAUUUCCAUGGUGUAAAUACUCCCAUCAUGGCCGAUUUCAAAUUACCAACAUGGACUUGAGAAGAGCUAGCACAUCAUUAUAUAAUAUUUCUAUCAUAUAGAUAUAACAGAUGUAAAUAGCCUUCAGAGUCUAGAUAAUAGUAAAAUGUAGUAAAAUAUUUAGGAAGUGAUGAAUUUUAAGCAGUUAUUGUCUUUGUUUUUAAUAUAAUUUAUUUAAUUGUAAGUUUAUAUAAUUUAAUUUUUAAUAAUGGCUGUGUUUAACAACCAGUUUGCCAAAUUCCUGAAAAUUUAACAGUCAGCCCUCUGAGCUGGGAUAAGCUGCCUCUCAGCACACCGUCAGAGCCCUGUGCCCUCCCUCUAGGCCACUGGGAGAUACAAUGCAAGAGAUUUCUCUGUGGAGUUUAACACCAAAUAUUUGUUUGUUCUGGUUAUGUGCAAAACUUUUUUUUUUUU
rnacentral:lncRNA from 1 species